GACACCCGCACUACGGGGCCCCCGCGCGAUUCCCCGCCACCCGGCUUCGCGAUUUCGUUGGCUCGCUUCAGAACUUGGUGGUGCUGAGUGAGGUGGUGGUGCGCUCGGGGGCUUCAGACUUCUGAAGGCCUUCAACCAUUUAUUCUUCAUACUGCCAGCUGAUGAAGAGGACAGCUUUCUAUCUACCGCUGCGGUACCGCUGUCCGCCUUUGUUGCGAAAAGUUCUCUCUGUGUAACAGAAGGAAGGUGUAUAAAAAUUUUGUGCAUACUUUAAUAUUUUAAAUGCGGUGGUGAUUAUAAGUUCUGCCUGAUCGUAAGUGGUUACAGUAACUUAUGUACACCUUUAAAACUAUGGGCAUUGAUUGCACGUUUAUGUCUCUAAUAUGUAUAACCAUUGCUUUAUAUUAUUAGAAUAUAGACAUAUAUUAAGUAUAUUACUAGGCUACUUAUAUAUUAAAUGUUAUAUAAGUUCAGAUUAAGUAUUAUCGUUAAUAAUAUUUAUUAUACACCUGUAAUACAUAGACCAAAGUUAAGUGUAGAUUCUGGAUAUAAUGGAAUGAGUCUCAACUCAAUUUUGUCAAAAUGAAUGUUAACAAUUUAAAAUUCUUCUAAAAUUCUGAUUGAAAACUGUAAUACGAAUCUUCUUUAAUAUUUUAUGAUUUUCUAUAAACGUUUAUAAACACAAUAUGUUUGUACAUAAUAUGAGUGUACAAUAAAUAUAAUUUCAUACUUUUUGUACACAUAAUUCUAUCGAGAGUUACGCUACAAUUUAUUUGUACUAUAUUUCAGAAUCUCUUGAACGUUUUGGAGUACUAUUUAAUCAACUGUAAAAGAAAUAUAUAUAAAGUGAUGCAUUUGCCAAUUUUGAGUCGAUUUUGGAUGAGUAUAUCUUACAAAAUACAAAUUGUAAAUUAUAAGUAGGUAUACAAAAUGCCACCAAAUUAUAUGACAAGCUGCAUUAUCAUAGAAAUGAAUGAUACCAAGCGUCAGCAUAAACCGCUUAAUAAGAUAUGAAAAUCUAAGAGCUUCCUUGUCAUUUUCAAUAUGCUUAUAGUAAGGACCAUUCCCUUGAAAUGAUUCAAUUUUGAAUAUUGUAUAGGAAAAUUUGCAAUUUAAUUGACAUCCAAUUGAAAUAAGGUGACGCCUUUAUCAGACUUAAUAGAUUGAAAACAUUCCAAUACGGAAAAUUUAAUUAAAAUCAACAGAGGUCAUGAAUUAAAUUAAUAUACCUAAAAGCAAUUAUAUUAAUAGUUAAAUACUUGAGCUUGGUUUGUUUAAAUCUAAUCGUUACUACUGGCAAAUAAAAAUGAGCUAGCUUAUUAUCUAAAUAAAUAAUACUAAUCCAUCUAACAAAAAUCUAGCCAUGAUUCUAAGAAAAUACAUGUUUUAUCUCUGACAUAUAUUAUGUUGAUGGAAAGGGUUCUAGAUAUGUACAAAAGCAAUAAAAAAAACAUGUUUCAUAGGUGUAUAACAAUAUGUAUAAAAUUUGUCAUAACCGCUCUAAUUACAUGAUGUCUAACUACA